UGUUAGUUAACCUUAGCAGUUAGCGUUACCUAAAUAACACACAUCAACCAAGUCCUGUCUCUAACGCGAAUUAAAGACUGCCUGUGGGUUUGAUCUUAACAUCAGAAGCUAUAGAGUGGAUGUCUUUUCUGCUGGUGUAUCCUGAGGUAGCCCCUCUCUGAGAACCUCUUCCAGCAGUGAGUAUAGGCGAACGGCGUCUCUCCCGUGUGGAUCUUCAGGUGCACAUUCAGCUGGUACUGACGGGAGAACCUCUUCUCACACUGGGGGCAGCUGUAGGGUUUCCCCCCCUGUGUGGACCCUCUGGUGCCACCUCAGGUCACCAGCGUGGGCGAAGUGCAUGUGACACUGGGUACAGCUAAAAGGUUUCACCCCAGUGUGGACCCUCUGGUGCUUCUUCACAUAGUUCGCCUCAGCAAAGCGCUUCCCACACGUGGGGCAGGCAUACGACUUACGACUCUGUGUCCGUCCUCAUGCUUGGCCUCCCACGUUGUUACCCAAUGACACCAGAGGAGGUAGAAGCAGGAGCCACAUUUGAGCUACCUCCUUGACCUCUAGCCGUUGUUUGGGCGUUGUUGGGAUUGUGUGCUGUGUUAUAGGCUAAGUACCUCUUGUGGAGAACACCCAUCCUGACCCUGUCUGUAUUGGUGGGGUAACCAUGAGGUAACUGAGGAAGGCUAGACCCAGGCCCAGGUCUUCUAUGAACCCAGUCACCAGGUAGUAUACAAGACCCUGAAGUAGAAGACAUACUUUCUGAUGGACUACCACCAGGGGGGGGGGCUUUCGUCACUCUCUGUGAAGGCUGAAGCCCAGGGUGACAUGCUCUGUUCAUCAUCGAUACUGUGCUGUUUGUAUCAUAGGAACAUUAGGGUCUCUAUCAGCCACAGGAUGUGCUCCCUCACUGCACUGAAACUGUGAAGAGAAGGGUCUGGGCUGCAGACUGGAUCCCUGACUGGAGCCUCUGUCUCUCUGAUGUCCACCAGGACUGAGGUUGUUUAGUCCACCUGUCUACUGGUUGUGUUCUGCGUGAUUGUGGAGUCUUUGUCCCUCGUGGUUCCGUCCUGAUUCUGAAUCAGGAAGGAAGAGUGACAGCUCUUGAUCCAGGGCCAGGGUUUGUGACCAGCCACUUCAGAGGUCCAGUCUCUCCAGCCAGCAACACCACAAAUCAGCAGGUCGUCAUGGACUGCAGACUAUAAACACAAAUUGAGCAGAAGAGCAUAUAAAGGUUUAUAUAAGAAACUCUUUACUGUACACACAGAAACAUGACAUUAUAUUAUAAAUGGUAACCACAGUCAAACCUGUCUCUAAAAUACCUAACAAUAUGAACCCAUUGGAGUUUAUUAUAAAAAUGUCCAUAUCUUUUGAUUCAAGAAUGAAAUAUAAUUAUUUGGUUUGACUGAGAUAAGGAAAACUCAGUCCCUGCAAUGAUACAAAUAUAACCAAAUCAGUCAGCACAGUUUUUAUUUAAUUUCAAAAAAAUUGACAGUCACAUAACAUGAAGUAUAGUACUUGUUAUGUAUCGUUUUGUACAAUACAAGUAGAAUAACUUCUCACUAUGGUAACACUUUACCUUUUCUGUAAAGCUGGUACCCUCGCUUUGAUCAAAUUAAUUUUAGAAUAUUUUGGGUUCAAAAUAACAUGGAUCUUAUCUAUUUUGUCAAGUGAAUUAAGGCACUAUCAUUAUCUCACUAUAAAACACCAGUAUCAACCUAAAGGGACAUAGUUGUCAGUCUUCAUCAGUGAAGCAUUUUUACAGACAGAAUCACACCAACCAUAACCAUAUCAUCUACUCUGCCUCAUCAUACUCAUUCUUUCCUCAGUUCACCUCAUCUAGUUCCCUACUAUAUCCCAAACCAACAGAGUGAACUACAAACACACUAACUAGUCAUUUAUUACAUGCCACUAUACUGUGUGCAUUUUCUGUUUGUGUAUCCUGAGGUUGCUCCUCUGAGAACCUCUUCCCGCAAUGCUUACAGGUGAAUGGCCUCUCCCGUGGGGACCUUCAGGUGCCUCUUCAGCUGGUGCUGGUGGCAGAACCUCCUCACACUGGGGACAGCUGUAGGUUCUCCCCCGUGUGGACCAUAUGGUGCCUCUUUAGGUUGAACGAGUGGGAGAAACUGGCCUGGCACAGCUAAAUGAUUUCUCCACCGUGUGCAUCCUCUGGUGGAUCUCCACCUCUAUGGGAAACUGAAGGACUUCUCACAGAAUGAACAUGGAAGCGCUUCUCUUAGGCGCUGCCAUCUUUACUGAUUCUGUCUCUACUACUGUCAUUUGUCAAUGGGCUUGUGUAGCCAUUUGGUGUUGAGGCACUGGCAUUGUCUGAGGUCUGCUUUAACAUUAGGAGAGUGUGAGAAGGACGAAGCCCAGGGAGUGUCUGUGUUGUCGCAGGGUCCAUGUUCCAGUUGAUAGAUCCUAUAGAAGGCAGGCGGAAGGCAGAACCUGCUAGGGGGUUAACCUGAGGUGCCAUCAGUCUCUCUGUAUCACAACUAUAGGAGCAGGAUGGAGCAUUGCUAGCCGAGUCUGUGUCUGUUCUCUCCCACCACAUACGGACACCUCCCUGUCCCCGCAGACCAAAUCUACGCCUCUGCCUGUUCUCAGACAGUUUGCUGUCAUGGAGACUAAGAUUGGAUGUUGUUUUGUGUUUGACUGUCUGUUUCUGGUUAAGAGUAUUGUACCGCAGCUUAAAGUUGAGGACGCUGUCCCAUCCACUGACCUCCACUAUGUCGCCUAUGGUCCUGGCCUGCUCAGUGAUGUCAUCCCCAGAGUCCCUGGCUGCACCUGUCUAGGUCUGGGAAUCCAAGUUGGCCACCCAGUCUCCACUAUUAGCCUCCAGCCAACCACCUGCAGGAAGAGGUUAGAAAAUAGACUUUACAAACAUGGUAGAGAACUCUAGUUUCAAGUUUAUACAUUAUAACAUGUGUUUUUGGAUGUAAACAUAGGUUGUAUUGAUUUCAUUUUAUGAAUGAUGAAAAUUCAGACAAAAAUUCCCAGGUGCAUCACUAUUCUCAUUGAAGAUAUAUUACUGUAUGUAGGCUGUAUGUAUUUCUCCCUUACCUUGCUCCCCCAUCUUUAGUCCACUCAGCAGAUCAAUGCUCUCUGGUUCGUUUUCUAUUGUCUCCUCUUUGACUAGCAGCAGAUCAGGCUUCCCAUCCUCCAUGUCUACUAACUGUAAGAGAUAGAGUGAGAGGAUGUUGGAUCCAGAAAUCUGACAUGAGCAUCUUCUGAUUGGGCAAUGAGGGAUUGCUAUGAGUACUAUGCAAACAUGUUAGUUGAUUUGAUUACUUGAUACUCUUUAAUGGUUGGAUAUUUCAAAAGCAUGGUCCCACACUUAAGACAAUUUGAGUCAAUACCUGGGCCCGUAUCCACAAAGCGUCUCAGAGUAGAAUUGCUGAUCUAGGAUUUUUCCAUAUAAUUAUAUUCAUUAUGGUCUAAAAGGAUAAACUGAUCAUAGAUCCGCAUUCCUGCUCUGAGAAGCUUUGUGGAUACAGACCCUGACCUAAUACCAUUCAGACAGUAGUUCACAGUGGGCUCACCUCAGUGAGACUGUGUGUGGUCCUGUGCUGUUCAACUCGUUCCUCUGUGGUUUUGGGAGGUUGUGUAGUCCGGUUGUCAUCCAUGACAUGUUCCCCUCAGGGUUCCCCAGACCCUCUUCACACCCCCCCUCCUUCACCAGCAGCACCUCUGGACCUUCCUCCUCCUGGAAGGAAGAGGUGAUACAGAUUACACCAACAUACACUCCCUCAGGUACAUACACACAGGUAAUAAAUACACUUUAAACUUGUAAGGGGCCAUACUUGUGAACAUUGAUUAUUUCCUGUAACAAUUUCCGUAUCAGCCUAAUAAAAGAUCUUAAAGAGCGCCCAUGAAAUCAACCAAUCCCAUUAAAUGGCCUAUGUGGCAUUGAUAAGAGUCACAAACAUUUAUUAUAGUGUGAAAAUAGGGCAAUCAGUCUUGUCAAAAACGACGUUUGGAACCAAGUGCGUCACAACGAGUAAAUUAAGUUUUUUUGGAUUACAAUUAUGUCAACAAAUCAUCCCCAAUUUUGCCUAGCUCCACGUGCAACUCGCCCCAUCCGCUUUUCAGAAUGGGGCUCUUUUUUUCCCCCAUCGCCGCCGUUUAUGACUAAAAAGCCCUGUGUGGAUUGACCAUGACUCCACACCCAAAGUUAUAUGGUUUGCAUGCCCUGCCGAAGGAUCCUAGUAUUCGGAAAGGCGGUUGGAGUUCGCCAGUCCCCUCUGCACCACCAGUAUAGUAACGCUAGCUUGGUGUGCAACGUUCGGUGGUGGUGAGUAUAACCAGAGAUACUGUUAUAUGACCUCUGGCAUAAUUUAGCUAACGUUACUGCUGGUUAAGUAGCUAUCUUUUGACAAAGCAAGGCAGGCUAGCUAACGUUUUAGCUAUUGUUAGCAUAGCUAGCUAGUUACAAUAGUUCAUACUGCUGGUUAUAUAACGUUAUCAUUUGACAAGUCGGAUUUACAAGUGUCUUCUGUACGUUAUUUACAAGGGCAAAACUAAAUAAUAAAUGCAACUAUGGUGAUAGUUAACUCAUGUGUGGGUCUGACUACUACGAUGAACUAGGAGCAACAACCCGCAAUGGCGUCACUGGCCUGAAUCCAAUCUGGAGCUACAGUCAGUCUACAUCUAUAAAGCAUAUCAUUAGGGUUUCCACAUCCACAAUCGGUUAUAUGGCAAAAAUGAAUGUAACAUUUAAAAAUGUAUGUUGGUCUUAUUUUAAGGUUACGUUUAAAAUCACAUUUUAAUAAGAUAAAUUGUAGAAAUAGGCGAGGUGUUUGACUUUGUGGCUGUGGUAACUAGUGACGACCUAGAAUUAGCUUGACCCGAGUUACUGCCCUGAUGACAGACGGCUUCAUCAACAACUGUAAUAUGUGUUUUAUAUGAAAGGUUGUAUAAAAAAUGCACGGUUUGUUAAACUAUUAGGUGAAUUACCCAGUCAAGCAGAUACAAGUAGUACAGUCAUUUUGGUUGUGAAGUGCAUUAUCAAAAAGCUUUGUAAUUUCUUUAUAACAAAAUGCAAUUUACCACUUGGCUGUCUAUUGUAUAACCCUAACACCACCUCAUAAGAUGAGGAAGUCCAUUGUUUAUGAGGAUUGCUUGCAGCAGUUGUUCAAGAGAUAUCCAGUUUGCUGCCAAACAUGCAACAUAGAGAUGACCAGCAAGGGGACCCUCAGCAUCACGCAGACAUCCCCUCGCUGUGAGCAUUCCUAUAAAUUGAACAGGGUGGAUGCUUGAACAGGGAGGAUGCUUGAAUCGGGUUGGUGACAUUUGACCUGGUCAAAUGUUUACCGUUCUAUUUCAGCGAGCAGCUUGGUUCCACCAUUCGAGUCAUAACCACCAUUGAUAAUGUAAUCAGUGCUCUGUUUGUGUGUGACUGACCAAACACAGACGGGGUGCUGGCAAAGACCUUACCUCAAUUCUCACCUCUUGCCUGCUCACCAGCGGUCAUUGAUGGGGAGACCAGAAUUAGGUAGGUUUAGUCUGACCUGUUCAAACUUCAACAUAGUUUGUCAUAUCACCUAUUCUAACUGCUAUUUGGUUAUAGAACACUGACUGUGUAUGUGUUCACAGAUUAAUCUAUGGUGGCAGCACAUGGAGAGAUGUGAUGGAGUCCUGACCGACAGGCUUGAUACUGACGUCUCUGAAUGGAGAGAAACCUGGCACUCAACACAUCCACAAUGUGGGACAGAAGGUGAGCACAAAUAAUACAGUACAGCAGAAAUGUCCAGUAUUUGCAACACCCUUUUCAUUCCAUUUGUCACGAAUAAACUCUGAUUCAACUCUGCUAGUUUUACAGAUGGACUGUAGAUGCUUUUGCCAGACGGCAGCCCGUCGUUUGAUGGGGAGACCAUAAUUGGGCAGGUUUUAUCUGAGUUGUUCAAACUCCAACAUAGUACCUACCUGUUUGUGUGUCCGAUAUUACCUAUCCUAACUGCCAUUGGUAAUAGAACAGUGACUGUAUGUGUUCACAGAAACGUAUGGAGUCAGCACAUGGAGACUUGCAAGAUGAUGUGAUGAAGUCCAGACCAACAGACAGGCUUGACACUGAUGUCUCUGAAUAAAGCAAGACCUGGCAUUAACAUUU